rnacentral:misc_RNA from 1 species
GUUUCCACUAGGUUGUCUGUACGUGCUUCAUUGCCAGAUAACAGCAACGGGGUUAAAGUAGAGUAUACCCCUUGGCUAAUUGUUGGAUUGGGAAACCCUGGAAAUAAGUACCAUGGCACUAGGCACAAUGUUGGUUUUGAAAUGAUUGAUCAAAUUGCUCAAGCAGAAGGUGUUGUGAUGAACACAAUUCAAUCGAAGGCAUUGAUUGGAAUAGGUUGCAUCAAAGAGGUUCCAAUUCUGA